ACUCAAAGGAAUUGACGGGGGCCCGCACAAGCGGUGGAGCAUGUGGUUUAAUUCGACGCAACGCGAAGAACCUUACCUACCCUUGACAUCCUAGGGAUCUUACAGAGAUGUAGGAGUGCCGAAAGGAACCUAGAGACAGGUGCUGCAUGGCUGUCGUCAGCUCGUGUUGUGAGAUGUUGGGUUAAGUCCCGUAACGAGCGCAACCCUUGUCCUUAGUUGCCAGCACGUAAAGGUGGGGACUCUAAGGAGACUGCCGGUGAAGAACCGGAGGAAGGUGGGGACGACGUCAAGUCAUCAUGGCCUUUAUGGGUAGGGCUACACACGUGCUACAAUGGUCGGUACAGAGGGAAGCGAAACUGCGAAGUGGAGCCGAUCCCGGAAAGCCGAUCGUAGUCCGGAUUGAAGUCUGCAACUCGACUUCAUGAAGUCGGAAUCGCUAGUAAUCGCGAAUCAGAAUGUCGCGGUGAAUACGUUCCCGGGCCUUGUACACACCGCCCGU
rnacentral:rRNA from 1 species